GAUGAACGCUGGCGGCGUGCCUAAUACAUGCAAGUCGAGCGAACAGACGAGGAGCUUGCUCCUCUGACGUUAGCGGCGGACGGGCGAGUAACACGUGGAUAACCUACCUAUAAGACUGGGAUAACUUCGGGAAACCGGAGCUACUACCGGAUAAUAUAUUGAACCGCAUGGUUCAAUAGUGAAAGACGGUUUUGCUGUCACUUAUAGAUGGAUCCGCGCCGCAUUAGCUAGUUGGUAAGGUAACGGCUUACCAAGGCAACGAUGCGUAGCCGACCUGAGAGGGUGAUCGGCCACACUGGAACUGAGACACGGUCCAGACGCCUACGGGAGGCAGCAGUAGGGAAUCUUCCGCAAUGGGCGAAAGCCUGACGGAGCAACGCCGCGUGGGUGAUGAAGGUCUUCGGAUCGUAAAACUCUGUUAUUAGGGAAGAACAAAUGUGUAAGUAACUAUGCACGUCUUGACGGUACCUAAUCAGAAAGCCACGGCUAACUACGUG
rnacentral:rRNA from 1 species